rnacentral:rRNA from 1 species
GACGGAAGGUGCAAGCGUUGCUCGGAAUCACUGGGCGUAAAGAGCGCGCAGGCGGUCGUUCAAGUCGCGUGUGAAAGCCCCCGGCUCAACUGGGGAGGGUCACGCGAUACUGAUCGACUCGAAGGCAGGAGAGGGUAGUGGAAUUCCCGGUGUAGUGGUGAAAUGCGUAGAGAUCGGGAGGAAUACCUGUGGCGAAGGCGGCCUACUGGGCCGGACCUGACGCUGAGACGCGAAGGCGUGGGGAGCGAACGGG